CUCAUCCACACCAAGGCACACUUUUAUCUAAAUAGCGACAGACUGCUAGCCCGCAUCAUCAACAAACGGAAAACAAAAUCGCACAUCACUCAUUUGCAAGUGCCACGGUUCGCACCAUGACAUCCAGACGUAGUCGCCCCAGAAGUGCCCAACAGGGGAUUUGAACUGUUGUCCAUCUCUGCCUUAGUGCUGCUGUCUUGCCUCUGGACCUCACUUCAGUUCUUGUUUCUGCC